CCUACGGGUGGCAGCAGUGGGGAAUAUUGCACAAUGGGGGAAACCCUGAUGCAGCGACGCCGCGUGAAGGAAGAAGUAUUUCGGUAUGUAAACUUCUAUCAGCAGGGAAGAAAAUGACGGUACCUGACUAAGAAGCCCCGGCUAACUACGUGCCAGCAGCCGCGGUAAUACGUAGGGGGCAAGCGUUAUCCGGAUUUACUGGGUGUAAAGGGAGCGUAGGCGGUGCAGCAAGUCAGAAGUGAAAGCCCGGGGCUCAACUCCGGGACUGCUUUUGAAACUGUUGAACUAGAGUGCAGGAGAGGUAAGUGGAAUUCCUAGUGUAGCGGUGAAAUGCGUAGAUAUUAGGAGGAACACCAGUGGCGAAGGCGGCUUACUGGACUGUAAAUGACGCUGAGGCUUGAAAGCGUGGGGAGCAAACAGGAUUAGAUACCCUGGUAGUC
rnacentral:rRNA from 1 species